GGGGAUAGGGUCAUAGCUCAGUGGUAGAGCAUCUGCUUAGCAUGCAGAAGGUCCCAGGUUCAACCCCUGGCAUCUCCA